CCAAAAAUAUCAAGUUCUAACUCCUACAAUAUCUUUUGGUAGAUCUAUAGUCUUGGAUUUGUGAUUUUAACAUAUGUUUUGGUAAAUUAGAGCUUUGGGGUGUAACUCCGGUGGAAACUACAGAUAUGUUUGGAACAAUUUUGGGCUUUAAAAUGAUUGACAAUGUCAUUCUUAUUGGAGUUGAGGAGCUCAUCCAAAAAUGGAACAACGUUGUUAUUGGUGUAGCUGCAAGUUGGGAGGGCACCCACAGAAUUUUUAAAUUUUUUGAAUCUGAAAAUAAGAGAAAAAAUCCGCAAUAGAAUAUGAUGUCUUGGGUUUGAAGUAUAUUAAGAGCCUUAAACUAAGUAGGAUUCAACAUAUAAGAUAUUCUUAUCUUGUAUACCCAUAUACAAGAUAAGAAUCAUUAAAAAAUUAAUUUUCUAUAAUGAUUUCAUAAUGUUUUAUUGGAACUGGUGUAAUCAGCAUAAAUUAAACCAAAUUGUUUUAUUUC